CUAUUACUAAGACUCCACUGUCCGUCUGUCUUUGAUUCUUUUGUUUUAUACUACGUCGAUGGCAAAAAAGCAUACGGCCCGCCUGAUGGCAAGCAGUCUCCAUAGCCUAUGGACGCUUGCAACUCCAGAGGUGUUACAUGCGCGUUGUCGACCCUAACACACCGCACCCUCGUUGAGCUCUUGCAACCUUACUCACCGGCAGGAACACAACACUAUGAGUAGGGUCUUGUGUUAUUGGCUGCGGUUUUUUAGGUUGGGCUCUGCUCUA